GACGAACGCUGGCGGCGUGCCUAAUACAUGCAAGUUGAGCGCUGAAGGUUGGUACUUGUACCAACUGGAUGAGCAGCGAACGGGUGAGUAACGCGUGGGGAAUCUGCCUUUGAGCGGGGGACAACAUUUGGAAACGAAUGCUAAUACCGCAUAAAAACUUUAAACACAAGUUUUAAGUUUGAAAGAUGCAAUUGCAUCACUCAAAGAUGAUCCCGCGUUGUAUUAGCUAGUUGGUGAGGUAAAGGCUCACCAAGGCGAUGAUACAUAGCCGACCUGAGAGGGUGGUCGGCCAAAUUGGGACUGAGACACGGCCCAAAAUCCUACGGGAGGCAGCAGGAGGGAAUCUUCGGCAAUGGACGAAAGUCUGACCGAGCAACGCCGCGUGAGUGAAGAAGGGUUUCGGAUCGUAAAACUCUGUUGGUAGAGAAGAACGUUGGUGAGAGUGGAAAGCUCAUCAAGUGACGGUAACUACCCAGAAAGGGACGGCUAACUACGUG
rnacentral:rRNA from 1 species